rnacentral:rRNA from 2 species
CAACUUUAUUAGUUUGUAAACUUUUUUAGAAAAUUUAAGUCAAGGUAAUAAUUCUUUGAUUCUCUAGGGGACGAUAAGACCCUAGAAGCUUUAUACACAGAUUGUCUUUUGAUGGUGGAAAGUAAGGUAUUUGACUGGGGCGGUAUGAGUAUUUAAACUACUUUUUUUAUAAUUUGAUCCUUUAGAUUAAGAUAAAAUGGUUAAGUUACUCUAGGGAUAACAGUGCUAUAUUUUUGGAGAGACCUUAUCGAUAAAAAUGUUUGCUACCUCGAUGUUGAAUUAGGAUGUCUAAAUGAAGCAUAAAGUAUAAAAGAGGGUUUGUUCAACCUUUAAAAUUCUACAU